rnacentral:rRNA from 1 species
GCGAAAACCCCGCAAGGGGUUAGUAGAGUGGCGAACGGGUGUAGUAACACGUGGGUGACCUACCUUCGAAUGGGGGAUAACGUCCCGAAAGGGACGCUAAUACCGCAUAACAUCCUGCUUUUGAACAAGUGGAGAUCAAAGCCGGGGAUCGCAAGACCUGGCGUUUGAAGAGGGGCCCGCGUCUGAUUAGCUAGUUGGUGAGGUAACGGCUCACCAAGGCAACGAUCAGUAUCCGGCCUGAGAGGGCGGACGGACACACUGGGACUGAGACGCGGCCCAGACUCCUACGGGAGGCAGCAGUGGGGAAUUGUUCGCAAUGGGCGCAAGCCUGACGACGCAACGCCGCGUGGAGGAUGAAGGUCUUCGGAUUGUAAACUCCUGUUGCCCGGGACGAAAUGCUUCGACCUAACACGUCGAAGUUUGACGGUACCGGGUGAGGAAGCCCCGGCUAACUCUGUGCCAGCAGCCGCGGUAAUACAGAGGGGGCAAGCGUUGUUCGGAAUUACUGGGCGUAAAGGGCGCGUAGGCGGCCUUCUAAGUCGAACGUGAAAUCCCCGGGCUCAACCCGGGAACUGCGUCCGAUACUGGAAGGCUUGAAUCCGGGAGAGGGAUGCGGAAUUCCAGGUGUAGCGGUGAAAUGCGUAGAUAUCUGGAGGAACACCGGUGGCGAAGGCGGCAUCCUGGACCGGUAUUGACGCUGAGGCGCGAAAGCCAGGGGAGCAAACGGGAUUAGAUACCCCGGUAGUCCUGGCCCUAAACGAUGAAUGCUUGGUGUGGCGGGUAUCGAUCCCUGCCGUGCCGAAGCUAACGCAUUAAGCAUUCCGC